CCUACGGGAGACAGCAGUGGGGAAUAUUGCACAAUGGGGGAAACCCUGAUGCAGCAACGCCGCGUGAGUGAUGACGGCCUUCGGGUUGUUAAGCUCUGUCUUCAGGGACGAUAAUGACGGUACCUGUGGAGGAAGCCACGGCUAACUACGUGCCAGCAGCCGCGGGAAUACGUAGGGGGCGAGCGUUGUCCGGAUUUACUGGGCGUAAAGGGAGCGUAGGCGGAUUUUUAAGUGAGAUGGGAAAUACUCGGGCUCAACUUGAGUGCUGCAUUUCAAACUGGAGGUCUAGAGUGCAGGAGAGGAGAAUGGAAUGCCUGGUGUAGCGGUGAAAUGCGUAGAGAUUAGGAAGAACACCAGUGGCGAAGGCGAUUCUCUGGACUGUAACUGACGCUGAGGCUCGAAAGCGUGGGGAGCGAACAGGAUUAGAUACCCUUGUAGUG
rnacentral:rRNA from 1 species